GUCUGUGGCCAUACGACCCUGAACAGCCCAAUCUCGUCUGAGCUCGGAAGCUAAGCAAAGGGUUGGGCCUGGUUAGUACUUGGAUGGGAGAUGGACCCCCAUUGGUCUACCCAUGCUCCUUGGAUC
rnacentral:rRNA from 1 species